AAGCAGGCUUCAGAAGGUGGGUAAUAACAAAUUUCUCUGAGCUAAAAGAAAAUGUUCUAACCCAAUGCAAAGAAACUAAGAACUUAGAAAACAGGUUAGAUGAAAUGCCAACUAGAAUAAUCAGCUUAGAGAAAAACAUAAACUACUUGAUGGAGCU